rnacentral:tRNA from 1 species
GGGGAUUUAGCUCAGUGGUAGAGCGCUUGCCUGGCAAGCACAAGGCCCUGGGUUCAGGUCUCAGCUCUG